rnacentral:rRNA from 1 species
AUGAACGCUGGCGGCGUGCCUAAUCCAUGCAAGUCGAGCGAACAGACGAGGAGCUUGCUCCUCUGACGUUAGCGGCGGACGGGUGAGUAACACGUGGAUAACCUACCUAUAAGACUGGGAUAACUUCGGGAAACCGGAGCUAAUACCGGAUAAUAUAUUGAACCGCAUGGUUCAAUAGUGAAAGACGGUUUUGCUGUCACUUAUAGAUGGAUCCGCGCCGCAUUAGCUAGUUGGUAAGGUAACGGCUUACCAAGGCAACGAUGCGUAGCCGACCUGAGAGGGUGAUCGGCCACACUGGAACUGAGACACGGUCCAGACUCCUACGGGAGGCAGCAGUAGGGAAUCUUCCGCAAUGGGCGAAAGCCUGACGGAGCAACGACGCGUGAGUGAUGAAGGUCUUCGGAUCGUAAAACUCUGUUAUUAGGGAAGAACAAAUGUGUAAGUAACUAUGCACGUCUUGACGGUACCUAAUCAGAAAGCCACGGCUAACUACGUG